UACAGAGGGGGCCAGCGUUAUUCGGAAUUAUUGGGCGUAAAGAGCUCGUAGGCGGUUCGGUAAGUCAGGUGUGAAAUCUCCACGCUCAACGUGGAGGCGCCACCUGAAACUGCCGUGACUAGAGUCCGGUAGGGGAGUGUGGAAUUCCCGGUGUAGCGGUGAAAUGCGUAGAGAUCGUAAGGAAGACCAGUGGCGAAGGCGGGUCUCUGGACAGUUCCUGACACUGAGGCACGAAGGCCAGGGGAGCAAACGGG
rnacentral:rRNA from 1 species